rnacentral:tRNA from 1 species
CAGGGAGACAACAAAAUGUUUAAUAUUAUUAUUUUGUCACCUUAGGUCGAUCGGUAUCUCACAUUUUUAAUUUAUUAAGAAUUUCAAUUCCUAAGUUUUUCUAGGUCACACCCAUUUUUUUCCUGGGCCAUUAGCUCAGGUGGUUAGAGCGCACCCCUGAUAAGGGUGAGGUCCCUGGUUCAAGUCCAGGAUGGCCCAUAUCUCUAUGUUGGGGGUAUAGCUCAGUUGGUAGAGCGCCUGCUUUGCAAGCAGGAUGUCAGCGGUUCGAGUCCGCUUACCUCCACUGAUCACCACCUCUCCCAUAAACUCUAGAUAAGGAAAAAUCGUGAAAUGUGAUCAAAUCUGAAGGAAUCUAGCUUCCUAAUUAAAUCAUUAAGAUGCUGGAUUCAUUGAAUUAAUUUCAUUGUUUUCAGAGAACCUUGACAACUGCAUAGAUUAUUUUUUAAAGACAAUAAGCAUCUUUAAUGAUGCAGAUUUAUUAUUUGUGCGAAUGCAUUAAUAACAAUUCUAUUAAGCUGAUGCUUCAUUUUUGAAGUUAUU